UACAGAGGCCCCGAGCGUUGUUCGGAAUCAUUGGGCGUAAAGCGUUUGUAGGUGGUUCGCUAAGUUGGAUGUGAAAGCCCAGGGCUUAACUCUGGACGUGCAUUCAAAACUGGCGAUCUUGAGUGCUGGAGAGGAAAGCGGAAUUCCCGGUGUAGUGGUGAAAUACGUAGAGAUCGGGAGGAACACCAGUGGCGAAAGCGGCUUUCUGGACAGACACUGACACUGAGAAACGAAAGCGUGGGGAGCAAACAGG
rnacentral:rRNA from 1 species